AGGAAUAUUGGUCAAUGGGCGUUAGCCUGAACCAGCCAAGUAGCGUGAAGGAUGAAGGCUCUAUGGGUCGUAAACUUCUUUUAUAUAAGAAUAAAGUGCAGUAUGUAUACUGUUUUGUAUGUAUUAUAUGAAUAAGGAUCGGCUAACUCCGUGCCAGCAGCCGCGGUAAUACGGAGGAUCCGAGCGUUAUCCGGAUUUAUUGGGUUUAAAGGGAGCGUAGGCGGAUUGUUAAGUCAGUUGUGAAAGUUUGCGGCUCAACCGUAAAAUUGCAGUUGAUACUGGCAGUCUUGAGUGCAGUAGAGGUGGGCGGAAUUCGUGGUGUAGCGGUGAAAUGCUUAGAUAUCACGAAGAACUCCGAUUGCGAAGGCAGCUCACUGGAGUGUAACUGACGCUGAUGCUCGAAAGUGUGGGUAUCAAACAGGAUUAGAUACCCUGGUAGUCCACACAGUAAACGAUGAAUACUCGCUGUUUGCGAUAUACAGUAAGCGGCCAAGCGAAAGCGUUAAGUAUUCCACCUGGGGAGUACGCCGGCAACGGUGAAACUCAAAGGAAUUGACGGGGGCCCGCACAAGCGGAGGAACAUGUGGUUUAAUUCGAUGAUACGCGAGGAACCUUACCCGGGCUUGAAUUGCAACUGAAUGAUGUGGAGACAUGUCAGCCGCAAGGCAGUUGUGAAGGUGCUGCAUGGUUGUCGUCAGCUCGUGCCGUGAGGUGUCGGCUUAAGUGCCAUAACGAGCGCAACCCUUAUCGAUAGUUACCAUCAGGUUAUGCUGGGGACUCUGUCGAGACUGCCGUCGUAAGAUGUGAGGAAGGUGGGGAUGACGUCAAAUCAGCACGGCCCUUACGUCCGGGGCUACACACGUGUUACAAUGGGGGGUACAGAAGGCAGCUACACGGCGACGUGAUGCUAAUCCCUAAAGCCUCUCUCAGUUCGGAUUGGAGUCUGCAACCCGACUCCAUGAAGCUGGAUUCGCUAGUAAUCGCGCAUCAGCCACGGCGCGGUGAAUACGUUCCCG
rnacentral:rRNA from 1 species